rnacentral:SRP_RNA from 1 species
GGUGCGGCCUUCGCGCGGCGAAAGGCUUUGAACCGUGUCAGGGCAGAAAUGCAGCAGCACUAAGAGGUAUCUUUCGGGUGAUGCGAACCAGCCCCCGGGUA